GAUGAACGCUGGCGGCGUGCCUAAUACGUGCAAGUCGAGCGAACAGACGAGGAGCUUGCUCCUCUGACGUUAGCAGCGGACGGGUGAGUAACACGUGGAUAACCUACCUAUAAGACUGGGAUAACUUCGGGAAACCGGAGCUAAUACCGGAUAAUAUAUUGAACCGCAUGGUUCAAUAGUGAAGGACGGUUUUGCUGUCACUUAUAGAUGGAUCCGCGCCGCAUUAGCUAGUUGGUAAGGUAACGGCUUACCAAGGCAACGAUGCGUAGCCGACCUGAGAGGGUGAUCGGCCACACUGGAACUGAGACACGGUCCAGACUCCUACGGGAGGCAGCAGUAGGGAAUCUUCCGCAAUGGGCGAAAGCCUGACGGAGCAACGCCGCGUGAGUGAUGAAGGUCUUCGGAUCGUAAAACUCUGUUAUUAGGGAAGAACAAAUGUGUAAGUAACUAUGCACGUCUUGACGGUACCUAAUCAGAAAGCCACGGCUAACUACGUG
rnacentral:rRNA from 1 species